UUGUCACCUGGAGUUCUCCUCAAAUCACUUCAGUAGCUAGCUAGCUUGUGACUCAUUGUUACAUUGUCACUGUUUUAUAAGUGUGCUUGGGGCAGAGAGUUAUGCAUAGUGAAGUGUUUGGGGGAAUUCUAGGUCACAA
rnacentral:pre_miRNA from 1 species